rnacentral:rRNA from 1 species
CCUACGGGAGGCAGCAGUAGGGAAUCUUCCACAAUGGACGAAAGUCUGAUGGAGCAACGCCGCGUGAGUGAAGAAGGUUUUCGGCUCGUAACGCUCUGUUGGUAGUGAAGAAAGAUAGAGGUAGUAACUGUCCUUUAUUUGACGGUACUUUCUUAGACAGUCACGGCUAACUACGUGCCAGCAGCCGCGGUAAUACGUAGGUGGCAAGCGUUGUCCGGAUUUAUUGGGCGUAAAGCGAGUGCAGGCGGUUUAAUAAGUCUGAUGUGAAAGCCUCGGCUCAACCGGAGAAUUGCAUCAGAAACUGUUGAACUUGAGUGCAGAAGAGGAGAGUGGAACUCCAUGUGUAGCGGUGGAAUGCGUAGAUAUAUGGAAGAACACCAGUGGCGAAGGCGACUCGCUGGGCUGCAACUGACGCUGAGGCUCGAAAGCAUGGGUAGCGAACAGGAUUAGAUACCCCUGUAGUC